rnacentral:rRNA from 1 species
UACAGAGGUCCCAAGCGUUGUUCGGAUUCACUGGGCGUAAAGCGUGCGUAGGUGGUGAGUUAAGUCUGAUGUGAAAUCCCCCGGGCUCAACCUGGGAAUGGCAUUGGAUACUGGCUCGCUAGAGUGCGGUAGAGGGUGGUGGAAUUCCCGGUGUAGCAGUGAAAUGCGUAGAGAUCGGGAGGAACAUCUGUGGCGAAGGCGGCCACCUGGACCAACACUGACACUGAGGCACGAAAGCGUGGGGAGCAAACAGG